rnacentral:rRNA from 1 species
CGCGUAGGCGGCCACCGCAAGUCGACUGUGAAAUCUCCGGGCUUAACCCGGAAAGGUCAGCCGAUACUGCGGGGCUAGAGUGCAGAAGGGGCAACUGGAAUUCUCGGUGUAGCGGUGAAAUGCGUAGAUAUCGAGAGGAACACCUGCGGCGAAGGCGGGUUGCUGGGCUGACACUGACGCUGAAGUGCGAAAGCUAGGGGAGCGAACG